UACGGGGGGAGCAAGCGUUGUUCGGAUUUACUGGGCGUAAAGGGCGCGUAGGCGGUCAGCACAAGUCAGUUGUGAAAUCUCCGGGCUUAACUCGGAAAGGUCAACUGAUACUGUGCGACUAGAGUGCAGAAGGGGCAACUGGAAUUCUCGGUGUAGCGGUGAAAUGCGUAGAUAUCGAGAGGAACACCUGCGGCGAAGGCAAUCCCCUGGGCCUGUACUGACGCUCAUGCACGAAAGCGUGGGGAGCAAACAGG
rnacentral:rRNA from 1 species